rnacentral:tRNA from 1 species
GCCGGGGUGGCGGAAUUGGCAGACGCGCAUGGUUGAGGGCCAUGUGGGCUUCGGCCCGUGCGGGUUCAAGUCCCGCCCCCGGCA